UACGUAGGUGGCAAGCGUUGUCCGGAUUACUGGGCGUAAAGAGCGCGCAGGCGGUCGAUCAAGUCGGAGUGUGAAAGCCCCCGGCUCAACUGGGGAGGGUCAUUCGAUACUGAUCGACUCGAAGGCAGGAGAGGGUAGUGGAAUUCCCGGUGUAGUGGUGAAAUGCGUAGAGUAUCGGGGAGGAACACCAGUGGCGAAAGCGGCGCGCGUGGGACCUCUUCUGGACCGCUGAGGCGCGAAAGCCAGGGGAGGACGAAACGGGG
rnacentral:rRNA from 1 species